ensembl:snRNA U1 U1 spliceosomal RNA
UUACUUACCUGGCAGGGGAGACACCAUGAUCACGAAGGUGGUUUUCACAGGGCGAGUCUUAUCAUUUUACCCUGGGUGUGCUGACCCCUGCGAUUUUCCCAAAUGUGGGAAAUUCAACUGCAUAAUUCUC